UAUUAUUAUUUAGAAUAACAUUCAAAACAUUUUUAUAAGGGUAUUUGAAAAACAUAGACCAAUUUCUCAGUCUACAAAAAGUGCACAGGGUGAUAAAAAUUUGGAACGAGGCGUGCACAUAUCUGAAAGAUCAGCACAACCCCUUCAAAAAUUCAAUAAUGAUCCUUCCGCAGGUUCACCUACGGAAA
rnacentral:misc_RNA from 1 species